ACGCUGGCGGCACGCCUAACACAUGCAAGUCGAACGAAGUAGCAAUACUUAGUGGCAGACGGGUGAGUAACAUGUAGGUAUCUGCCCUUUGGCCUGGAAUAACACGAGGAAACUUGUGCUAAUACCGGAUAAGUCUUUACAGAGAAAGCUUUAUGCACCAUUGGAUGAGCCUGCACUUGAUUAGUUUGUUGGUGGGGUAAUGGCCUACCAAGACUGUGAUCAAUAGCUGAUUUGAGAGGAUGAUCAGCCACAUUGGGACUGAGACACGGCCCAAACUCCUACGGGAGGCAGCAGUGGGGAAUCUUGCACAAUGGAGGAAACUCUGAUGCAGCGAUGCCGCGUGAGUGAAGAAGGCCUUUGGGUUGUAAAGCUCUUUCGUCGGGGAAGAAAAUGACUGUACCCGAAUAAGAAGGUCCGGCUAACUUCGUGCCAGCAGCCGCGGUAAUACGAAGGGACCUAGCGUAGUUCGGAAUUACUGGGCUUAAAGAGUUCGUAGGUGGUUGAAAAAGUUAGUGGUGAAAUCCCAGAGCUUAACUCUGGAACUGCCAUUAAAACUUUUCAGCUAGAGUAUGAUAGAGGAAAGCAGAAUUUCUAGUGUAGAGGUGAAAUUCGUAGAUAUUAGAAAGAAUACCAAUUGCGAAGGCAGCUUUCUGGAUCAUUACUGACACUGAGGAACGAAAGCAUGGGUAGCGAAGAGGAUUAGAUACCCUCGUAGUCCAUGCCGUAAACGAUGUGUGUUAGACGUUGGAAAUUUAUUUUCAGUGUCGCAGCGAAAGCGAUAAACACACCGCCUGGGGAGUACGACCGCAAGGUUAAAACUCAAAUGAAUUGACGGGGACCCGCACAAGUAGUGGAGCAUGUGGUUUAAUUCGAAGAUACGCGCAGAACCUUACCAACACUUGACAUGUUCGUCGCGACUCUAAGAGAUUAGAGUUUUCGGUUCGGCCGGACGAAACACAGGUGCUGCAUGGCUGUCGUCAGCUCGUGUCGUGAGAUGUUGGGUUAAGUCCCGCAACGAGCGCAACCCUCACUUUUAGUUGCCAUCAUUAAGUUGGGCACUCUGAAAGAACUGCCAGUGAUAAGCUGGAGGAAGGUGGGGAUGACGUCAAGUCCUCAUGGCCCUUACGUGUUGGGCUACACACGUGCUACAAUGGUAUCUACAACAGGAAGCAAGACUGCGAAGUUAAGCAAAUCCCUAAAAGAUACCUCAGUUCGGAUUGCACUCUGCAACUCGAGUGCAUGAAGCUGGAAUUACUAGUAAUCGUGGAUCAGCGUGCCACGGUGAAUGCGUUCCCGGGUCUUGCACACACCGCCC
rnacentral:rRNA from 1 species